CUCCAUGAGCUUUUUCUAGAGGCCGUGAAAAAGCUUGAAGGGCCUGAAAGUGAGUUAGCUUUUAUGUUAUUCCAGCAACCAAUCUAUUAUUCGAAAGAGUUCUUCUGACCAAUAUCUUUUUUUGUUUCACUCCUGUUCCCAGACCCCUGAAAGAGAUUUUACUAUCAAGAUAUCUGGUCUGUAAAUAUACAAUGAAAAUGUUAGUGUUUUGCUGAAUUCAUAUUCCGGUCGUGCCCUUAAACUCCUUGAUGACUCAGAGGGUAAACUCAAUUUGACAGAGAGGUAAAUGUUGGAGAAAUCAUCUCAGUUAGCUAUGGAGAGAAAUAAAAGAACAGAACUCUAUAACGCUUACAAGAAGCUGACGUCCAAAUAUAAGUUUGUCUGCAAAAGAUUUGGUCUUACUGCCGACAGCUUCCUUGAGGAUGAUGGU